GAGCCCCUGGUGGCUGGAGGUUGAUCCUCUCUCUAUUCUGUGCUCAGCUUAGCAUUCCUUUGGCUCUUUCUGAAUCAGUGAUUAAUGUUUGCCUUUAUAGCUCAGAGAAAUUUGUCAUCUUGAGAUUAGUAAUAUGUCAGCGGCGUGUGCCCUACCUACAGCACAAGCUAGCUGUGGGGACUGCAAGGAUCAGGCACGGUGCCUGUCUUGGUAUCUACAAGAGUAAGGAGCACCUUCUUCUCACCCCUACAAAGCGCUGCCCAGAGAUGAGAGCGGCCGUUGUUUAUCGGACAUUAGCUUUUACUCAUUUCCAAGGGAAACGCUGGAAAGGAAAACAAAUGAAUGAAUGCUGCUUAGUCACAACCCUGGGGGAAAUUGGAGGUGCCACUACAUGGAAAGUCAACAAAGAGUCUUCAGCCAUCUUCUCCAUUACACUAUCAUUUAUUUCUACCAGAGGCAGUGGAUUAAGAGGACAGUAGGAGUACGGAGGAAAAGAAUCUGCAACAGGACUGCUGCAUUUCCCAGGUAGAAGAUGGACAGAAGCCACACACCCCCAGAAGUGCUGGAGGCAGAGCCUGACCUCACACAUGCACAUCUCCCAUUCAAACAGUCAGACUUCGUGGGACAAUCUAAGGUCACCACUUGGUGGGAAAUUCUUAACAAUUUUUAAGUGGCCACAAUGCACAUUAGAAAAAGAAAUCUCAGUCCAACUACCCAAACCCAAGAAUGUGUGAAAAUAUGACAAUUUGGAAUUAAAGCAAGGAAAGCCCAGAUGAAAUCACAUCUCAUGGGAACAAAGGCCACGGACCAUGAAUGAAGUUUCCCUGGAUAUGAAUUGCAGCCUGCACCUCACUAGCUGGGAAAAUGUCAAUGAAUUGUGUAAACUUGUUGCCUCCAUGUGCUCAGGUGGAUGUCUAUGGGCUCGCUGUGGGAAUGUGAUGGGUCAGCCCUGGAAGGCUUUCAAAGGAGGGGCCAGCAUGUGAGCACUCAUUUCCAACUCAUCGUUGCUAUUGUAGAUUAUUUUCCCCAUAACGUUCCAAGCACUUGUCGUUUAUGUAACUUUACCUUAUUGACCUUGAGACAGAUUCUGUAUUCAGCAAGUUCAUGAACUUCUUA
rnacentral:lncRNA from 1 species